rnacentral:rRNA from 1 species
AGAACGAACGCUGGCGGCGUGGAUAAGACAUGCAAGUCGAACGCGACUUAUCGUAUUAGCAAUAAUAUGGUAAGUUGAGUGGCGAAAGGGUGCGUAACACGUGGGAAAUUACCAAGAAGUGGGGAAUAGCUCGACGAAAGUCGAAUUAAUACCGCAUAUGAUCGCAAGAUCAAAGUCGGGGACCGCAAGGCCUGACGCUUUUUGAGAUGCCCGCGGCCCAUCAGCUAGUUGGUGAGGUAAAAGCUCACCAAGGCUAUGACGGGUAGCUGGUCUGAGAGGACGACCAGCCACACUGGAACUGAGACACGGUCCAGACACCUACGGGUGGCAGCAGUCGAGAAUUUUUCACAAU